rnacentral:misc_RNA from 1 species
GAUGAAGAACGUAGCGAAAUGCGAUAAGUAGUGUGAAUUGCAGAAUUCCGUGAAUCAUCGAAUCUUUGAACGCACAUUGCGCCUUCUGGUAUUCCGGAAGGCAUGCCUGUUCGAGAGUCAUUAACAACCGUUUCGAUCCCUUUCUUUCAGAAAUUACAAAGAGGAAAAGGGUUUGGUUAUGGUGGAGGAGGGAAAGCGAGCGUUUAGCCUGUAAAAAAAGAGGCUGUGUUCCGCCUCCCCCCCAAAAUUGUACAGGCGGUCGUGUGCGCCCACGCAUCGAGGUGUUGUAAAAGCUGCCACGGCACUUUUCACCUGUGCAGUGCGAGAUUGGCCAGCCGGUUUAAAAACCCCUCCAAACAAUCAAAGGUUGACCUCGGAUCAGGUAGGGAUACCCGCUGAACUUAAGCAUAUCAAUAAGCGGAGGA